GGCUCAUGAUGCUGAAUGCUGUCAUCAAAGGCUUUGAAGCUUUUGUGGUGGAGCAGGACCUGCAAGGAAAGAUGAUAGCAGCAUUUGUUGGGGGGAAAAAAGGUUUUAGGGAUUUUACUCAAAUAUAAAGAUCUGAAAUGUCUGCAGACUGGUAUGAGCACUGAGG